UGGCGGACGGGUGAGUAAUGUCUGGGAAACUGCCCGAUGGAGGGGGAUAACUACUGGAAACGGUAGCUAAUACCGCAUAACGUCGCAAGACCAAAGAGGGGACCUUCGGGCCUCUUGCCAUCGGAUGUGCCUAGAUGGGAUUAGCUAGUAGGUGGGGUAACGGCUCACCUAGGCGACGAUCCCUAGCUGGUCUGAGAGGAUGACCAGCCACACUGGAACUGAGACACGGUCCAG
rnacentral:rRNA from 1 species